rnacentral:misc_RNA from 1 species
GAUGAAGAACGCAGCGAAAUGCGAUACUUGGUGUGAAUUGCAGAAUCCCGUGAACCAUCGAGUCUUUGAACGCAAGUUGCGCCUCAAGCCAUUAGGUUGAGGGCACGUCUGCCUGGGCGUCACAUAUCGUUGCCUGAUGCCAGUUUCCUCGUGAUGGGUGACUGUGCAGGGCGAAUGAUGGCUUCCCGUGAGCAUUGUUGCCUCAUGGUUGGUUGAAAAUUGAGUCCUUGGUAGGGAGCGCCGUGACAGAUGGUGGUUGAGUGACGAACGAGACCCAAUCAUGUGAGACCCCUACCGAAUUUGGCCUUCAUGACCCACAUGCGUCUUUGGAACGCUCAUGACGAGACCUCAGGUCAGGCGGGGCUACCCGCUGAGUUUAAGCAUAUCAAUAAGCGGAGGA